ACUAGUCAUGCACAAAAUGGCGGACACUGCAAGUCAGAAAGAAUUUGAGGGUCGAAGCCACUGAAAACGAAUAAAAGAAGACAAAGGAAAGCUCAACCUAGUAUGACGACUCAAUGCAGCCCUACAGACCACAUCAAGGAAAGGAAAUCUCCCCUUUUUGCCCGAAGAUCGUACCAUCAAUCAAACCGUAACACCAACGUGCAAGACUUCUCUGUGGUGACUUACAAUACUCUAUCUGAUGUUGCUUUGCUGAACAGUCCAAGUUAUGAUUACUGCGAGAAGAAGUUCAAGGAGAGAUCUGCUGGGUCCCAAUACAAUACAGUACAAUACAAUUUUAUUUGGCACCUUA